GACGAACGCUGGCGGCGUGCCUAAUACAUGCAAGUCGAACGCAUUUUCUUUCACCGUAGCUUGCUACACCGAAAGAAAAUGAGUGGCGAACGGGUGAGUAACACGUGGGUAACCUGCCCAUCAGCGGGGGAUAACACUUGGAAACAGGUGCUAAUACCGCAUAAUUCCAUUUACCGCAUGGUAGAUGGGUGAAAGGCGCUUUUGCGUCACUGAUGGAUGGACCCGCGGUGCAUUAGCUAGUUGGUGGGGUAACGGCCUACCAAGGCUGCGAUGCAUAGCCGACCUGAGAGGGUGAUCGGCCACACUGGGACUGAGGCACGGCCCAGACUCCUACGGGAGGCAGCAGUAGGGAAUCUUCGGCAAUGGACGCAAGUCUGACCGAGCAACGCCGCGUGAGUGAAGAAGGUUUUCGGAUCGUAAAACUCUGUUGUUAGAGAAGAACAAGGAUGAGAGUGGAAAGUUCAUCCCUUGACGGUAUCUAACCAGAAAGCCACGGCUAACUACGU
rnacentral:rRNA from 1 species